rnacentral:rRNA from 1 species
UCGAAUGGGGAGAUUCAUCGUCAGUGGCGCUGGCUUCGCGGUGGUUGGCGAUGUCGAGGGACCUCGGUUCUACGGCACGUCGCCGCCGUGCUAUGUCCGGUGUCGUCGUCGUGCACUUCUCCCCUAGUAGGACGUCGCGACCCGUUGGGUGUCGGACUACGGCCCGGGUGGUUGCCCGUCUCGACGCUUCGGCGUUCGUGACAGACCCCUGGUGUUUGUCUCAUCCCGUCCGACUACUCGACGGUAUUUUGCGAUAGUAUUCGGCCGCAAUAUUUUCGAACGUAUGCGUCAUUGGCUCGUGGCAAGCGCGGUCAGUGUCCCGUGGGUACGGACGUAGUGCCGUCCCCGGGCCUGGCCAGCUGUUGGCUAACGGUGUCCUCUGACAGGCCGCUUACUUGUUUGCGACGCUAUUGCUUUGGGUACU